UGCCUGUUGCUGCUUCUCUGGGGGAGCAGCCGGGGCAGCACCUGGUCCUGCAACUCCUCUAGCUCCCGUCAGAUCGUCUCCUUCACGUUCUCUGGGUCCUGGACCAGGCCGAUGUGCAGCUCCGCGUUGCAGGAGGCCAGCUUCUCCGUCAAGUCACCCACCAUCUUGAUCUCUUUUUGGCUGCUCUGAAUGCUGGGCCAGGCAAAGUUGGACAUUCCAAAGAUGGCGUAGAUGAACAUGACCAGGAAGAGCAGGAGGCCGAUGUUAAACAACGCAGGAAGGGACAUCAUCAGAGCAAAGAGCAGCGUGCGGAUCCCCUUAGCCCCUUUGAUCAGACGUAGGAUUCGGCCAAUCCUGGCAAGACGGAUCACUCGGAACAGGAUCGUCCCUCAGCUAACAUCUGUGCCCAUCUUCCUCUAUUUUUUAUGUGGGAUGCCACCACAGCGUGGCUUGAUGAACGGUGCAUGGGUCCGUGCAUGAGAUCCGAACCUCCAAACCCUGGACGAAGCAGAGCACGUGAACUUAACCACUACGCCACCGGGCCGGCCCAAAACAUUCUUCUCUUACUGUGCCUAAUACUGUCUGGUUGAGUAUGCUUUAGUCAAUAUGUUUUGGAUAAAUAAAUAAGGGGAAAAUUUUACCUGGAAAAAUAUUUUAU